CAAAAAUUUCCAUUCGUGGCUUGUAGUGUCAUUAAUCAGCAAUUAGGGGAAAGGCCAUGAAGGGCAGAGAAAAACUAAGUACAUUUAAACUGAAAAGGUUGGUAAGGCUCUGUGAAGAAUCUUACCUGUCAUUGACUGCCAGCCUGCUAAAUUAAUGACUCUGACUGGGGAUCCGUUUUUAGUUUCAAGCCAUGCAUUUUGGAUGCCACCAUGUUCAUGUCAUUAAAGGCAAGUUUUAUCA